CACGUAGGGACCAAGCGUUGUCCGGAUUUAUUGGGCGUAAAGCGCUCGUAGGCGGUUCGGUAAGUCGGGUGUGAAACCUCCAGGCUCAACCUGGUGACGCCACCCGAUACUGCCAUGACUUGAGUUCGGUAGGGGAGCGGGGAAUUCCUAGUGUAGAGGUGGAAUUCGUAGAUAUUAGGAAGAACACCAGUGGCGAAGGCGGCUUACUGGUCCGGUACUGACGCUGAGGUGCGAAAGCGUGGGGAGCAAACAGG
rnacentral:rRNA from 1 species